rnacentral:rRNA from 1 species
AGAGUUUGAUCAUGGCUCAGGACGAACGCUGGCGGUGUGCCUAAAACAUGCAAGUCGAGCGGAUUUCCCGCAAGGGAAGUUAGCGGCGAACGGGUGAGUAAUGCAUGGGAAUCUGCCCUCGAGACGGGGAUAACGUACCGAAAGGGACGCUAAUACCCGAUCCGGUCUCUGUGUGACAACAUUGAGAUCAAAUCAUGGCCUCUGCUUGCACGCCAUGGCUUGAGGAUGAGCCCAUGUCCUAUCAGCUAGUUGGUGAGGUAACGGCUCACCAAGGCGAUGACGGGUAGCUGGUUUGAGAGAACGGCCAGCCACGCUGGGACUGAGACACGGCCCAGACUCCUACGGGAGGCAGCAGUAGGGAAUCUUGCGCAAUGGGCGAAAGCCUGACGCAGCGACGCCGCGUGAGCGAUGAAGGCCUUCGGGUUGUAAAGCUCUGUGGGGAGAGACGAAUAAGGCAUGGCUAACAUCCAUGUCGAUGACGGUAUCUCCUUAGCAAGCACCGGCUAACUCUGUGCCAGCAGCCGCGGUAAUACA